rnacentral:rRNA from 1 species
GACGAACGCUGGCGGCGUGCCUAAUACAUGCAAGUAGAACGCUGAAGAGAGGAGCUUGCUCUUCUUGGAUGAGUUGCGAACGGGUGAGUAACGCGUAGGUAACCUGCCUUGUAGCGGGGGAUAACUAUUGGAAACGAUAGCUAAUACCGCAUAACAAUGGAUGACCCAUGUCAUUUAUUUGAAAGGGGCAAAUGCUCCACUACAAGAUGGACCUGCGUUGUAUUAGCUAGUAGGUGAGGUAACGGUUCACCUAGGCGACGAUACAUAGCCGACCUGAGAGGGUGAUCGGCCACACUGGGACUGAGACACGGCCCAGACUCCUACGGGAGGCAGCAGUAGGGAAUCUUCGGCAAUGGGGGCAACCCUGACCGAGCAACGCCGCGUGAGUGAAGAAGGUUUUCGGAUCGUAAAGCUCUGUUGUAAGUCAAGAACGAGUGUGAGAGUGGAAAGUUCACACUGUGACGGUAGCUUACCAGAAAGGGACGGCUAACUACGUG